rnacentral:rRNA from 1 species
GACGAACGCUGGCGGCGUGCUUAACACAUGCAAGUCGAACGGAAAGGCCCUGCUUUUGUGGGGUGCUCGAGUGGCGAACGGGUGAGUAACACGUGAGUAACCUGCCCUUGACUUUGGGAUAACUUCAGGAAACUGGGGCUAAUACCGGAUAGGAGCUCCUGCUGCAUGGUGGGGGUUGGAAAGUUUCGGCGGUUGGGGAUGGACUCGCGGCUUAUCAGCUUGUUGGUGGGGUAGUGGCUUACCAAGGCUUUGACGGGUAGCCGGCCUGAGAGGGUGACCGGCCCCAUUGGGACUGAGAUACGGCCCAGACUCCUACGGGAGGCAGCAGUGGAGAAUAUUGCACAGUAGGCGGAAGCCAGAUGCGGCAACGCCGCGUGCGGGAUGACGGCCUUCGGGUUGUGAACCAAUUUCGCCUGUGACGAAGCGUGAGUGACGGUAAUGGGUAAAGAAGCACCGGCUAACUACGUG